rnacentral:rRNA from 1 species
UGAGGAAUAUUGGACAAUGGGUGAAAGCCUGAUCCAGCCAUCCCGCGUGAAGGAUGACGGUCCUAUGGAUUGUAAACUUCUUUUGUACAGGGAUAAACCUUCCUACGUGUAGGAAGCUGAAGGUACUGUACGAAUAAGCACCGGCUAACUCCGUGCCAGCAGCCGCGGUAAUACGGAGGGUGCAAGCGUUAUCCGGAUUUAUUGGGUUUAAAGGGUCCGUAGGCGGGCCGAUAAGUCAGUGGUGAAAUCUCAUAGCUCAACUAUGAAACUGCCGUUGAUACUGUCGGUCUUGAGUAAAUUUGAAGUGGCUGGAAUAAGUAGUGUAGCGGUGAAAUGCAUAGAUAUUACUUAGAACACCAAUUGCGAAGGCAGGUCACUAAGAUUUAACUGACGCUGAGGG